rnacentral:sRNA from 1 species
UGGUCAGGCCCGCCGACGUUGGGCAGAA